UACGUAGGUGGCAAGCGUUGUCCGGAUUUACUGGGCGUAAAGAGCGCGCAGGCGGUCGUUCAAGUCGCGUGUGAAAGCCCCCGGCUCAACUGGGGAGGGUCACGCGAUACUGCUCGACUCGAAGGCAGGAGAGGGAAGUGGAAUUCCCGGUGUAGUGGUGAAAUGCGUAGAUAUCGGGAGGAACACCAGUGGCGAAGGCGACUUCCUGGCCUGUUCUUGACGCUGAGGCGCGAAAGCUAGGGGAGCAAACGGG
rnacentral:rRNA from 1 species